rnacentral:tRNA from 1 species
GGGGGAGUAGUUUAGUGGUAAAACAGUGGUCUUCAAAAUCAUAGAUAUAGGUUCGAUUCCUAUCUUCCUCG